AGAGUUUGAUCCUGGCUCAGGAUGAACGCUAGCGGCAGGCCUAAUACAUGCAAGUCGAACGGUAAAUGCCCCUUCGGGGGUAUGAGAGUGGCGCACGGGUGCGUAACGCGUAUGCAACCCACCCGCUGUCGGGGGAUAGCCCGGAGAAAUUCGGAUUAAUACCCCAUGAGGAGUUCUGGAGGCAUCUCCGGGAUUUCAAAACUACGGUGACGGCGGACGGGCAUGCGUGCCAUUAGAUAGUUGGCGGGGUAACGGCCCACCAAGUCGACGAUGGCUAGGGGAUCUGAGAGGACGGUCCCCCCACACUGGUACUGAGACACGGACCAGACUCCUACGGGAGGCAGCAGUAAGGGAUAUUGGUCAAUGGGGGGAACCCUGAACCAGCCAUGCCGCGUGAGGGAAUAAGGCCCUAUGGGUCGUAAACCUCUUUUGCCGGGGGAUAAAGAUGAUUACGUGUAAUCAUUUGAAGGUACCCGGAGAAUAAGCAUCGGCUAACUCCGUGCC
rnacentral:rRNA from 1 species